CAAUCAACGAAAGGAGGUGGUCCAGUGUCUAGAAUGAUGCAGGAGUGUGAGGGCGGAACAGUCAUGGGGGCCGACGUCCAAGGGCAGUCCUGAGGACGAAGAACCAUGAUUGGGUCGGACCCUAACCGGGCCCACCUCCGAAACAUUCGAGGGACCGUCGUAUUCCGGCGGUCCC
rnacentral:misc_RNA from 1 species